rnacentral:rRNA from 1 species
UACGUAGGGUGCAAGCGUUAAUCGGAAUUACUGGGCGUAAAGCGUGCGCAGGCGGUUUUGUAAGUCUGUCGUGAAAUCCCCGGGCUUAACCUGGGAAUGGCGAUGGAGACUGCAAGGCUAGAGUUUGGCAGAGGGGGGGUAGAAUUCCACGUGUAGCAGUGAAAUGCGUAGAGAUGUGGAGGAACACCGAUGGCGAAGGCAGCCCCCCCUGGGUCAAAAGCAUGACGCUCAUGCACGAAAGCGUGGGGAGCAAACAGG